CUGUGAGAGGCUAAUUAGUCAAGAUGAGCUAUUAUCAGCAGGAGGAAAGAAAACUUUUGUAGUGAUAAUCAAGAUGGCCCAUUUAGACAGUUGACAAGAAGGUGUGAGAAUACUUAGCUUAAGGAAAUAAGAUUCAAUAUGUGUAAAGACCCAGCCA